rnacentral:rRNA from 1 species
GACGAACGCUGGCGGCGUGCCUAACACAUGCAAGUCGGACGGGAUUUGGGGGCAACUCCAAGUUCAGUGGCAGACGGGUGCGUAACACGUGAGAAACCUGCCCAACGGUGGGGGACAGCCGGCCUAACGGCCGGGUAAUACCGCAUACGCUCGUUUGGGGGCAUCCCUGAGCGAGGAAAGCAGCCGCAAGGUUGCACCGAUGGAGGGUCUCGCGGCCUAUCAGCUAGUUGGCGGGGUAACGGCCCACCAAGGCGACGACGGGUAGCUGGUCUGAGAGGAUGGCCAGCCACAUUGGGACUGAGACACGGCCCAGACUCCUACGGGAGGCAGCAGUGGGGAAUAUUGCGCAAUGGCCGCAAGGCUGACGCAGCGACGCCGCGUGUGGGAUGACGGCCUGGUUGUAAC